GGCUCAGGAUGAACGCUAGCGGCAGGCUUAAUACAUGCAAGUCGUGGGGCAGCGCAGGUAGCAAUACUGGGCGGCGACCGGCAAACGGGUGCGGAACACGUACACAACCUUCCGAGAAGUGGGGAAUAGCCCAGAGAAAUUUGGAUUAAUACCCCGUAACAUAACGAUGUGGCAUCACAUUGUUAUUAUAGCUUCGGCGCUUCUUGAUGGGUGUGCGGCUGAUUAGAUAGUUGGCGGGUAACGGCCCACCAAGUCUACGAUCAGUAGCUGAUGUGAGAGCAUGAUCAGCCACACGGGCACUGAGACACGGGCCCGACUCCUACGGGAGGCAGCAGUAAGGAAUAUUGGUCAAUGGACGCAAGUCUGAACCAGCCAUGCCGCGUGAAGGAUUAAGGUCCUCUGGAUUGUAAACUUCUUUUAUCUGGGACGGAAAAAGGCGAUUCUUCGUCACUUGACGGUACCAGAUGAAUAAGCACCGGCUAACUCCGUG
rnacentral:rRNA from 1 species